UGGGGAAUUUUGGACAAUGGGCGAAAGCCUGAUCCAGCAAUGCCGCGUGUGUGAAGAAGGCCUUCGGGUUGUAAAGCACUUUUGUCCGGAAAGAAAUCCUCUGGGUUAAUACCUCGGGGGGAUGACGGUACCGGAAGAAUAAGCACCGGCUAACUACGUGCCAGCAGCCGCGGUAAUACGUAGGGUGCAAGCGUUAAUCGGAAUUACUGGGCGUAAAGCGUGCGCAGGCGGUUUUGUAAGACGGAUGUGAAAUCCCCGGGCUUAACCUGGGAACUGCAUUCGUGACUGCAAGGCUAGAGUAUGGCAGAGGGGGGUAGAAUUCCACGUGUAGCAGUGAAAUGCGUAGAGAUGUGGAGGAAUACCGAUGGCGAAGGCAGCCCCCUGGGCCAAAUACUGACGCUCAUGCACGAAAGCGUGGGGAGCAAACAGGAUUAGAUACCCUGGUAGUCCACGCCCUAAAACGAUGUCAACUAGUUGUUGGGGAUUCAUUUCCUUAGUAACGUAGCUAACGCGUGAAGUUGACCGCCUGGGGAGUACGGUCG
rnacentral:rRNA from 1 species